rnacentral:rRNA from 1 species
UAAAUGAGAGUUUGAUCCUGGCUCAGGAUGAACGCUGGCGGCGUGCUUAACACAUGCAAGUCGAACGGGGGUCA